UACGAGAGGCCCAAACGUUAAUCGGAAUUACUGGGCGUAAAGCGUGCGCAGGCGGUCUUGCAAGACAGAUGUGAAAUCCCCGGGCUUAACUUGGGAACUGCAUUUGUGACUGCAAGGCUGGAGUGCGGCAGAGGGGGAUGGAAUUCCGCGUGUAGCAGUGAAAUGCGUAGAUAUGCGGAGGAACACCGAUGGCGAAGGCAAUCCCCUGGGCCUGCACUGACGCUCAUGCACGAAAGCGUGGGGAGCAAACAGG
rnacentral:rRNA from 1 species